AUUCUGAAUACAACUUUAGCGGCUGUAAGGAUAUAUAGUCUUAUACUUAUUGUACUAUUUGCAUUGAAUGUUCUCAAGGGGAUCGUCAUCAAUUGGGCUCUUGAGAAGAUGGAAUCUCCCAACCCAACGCAUUGAGAUAAAGAUAUAUCUAUUGACGACCUUGAGGAGAACGGCAGCCUGGAUGACCUCGCGCUGCCGUACGCACUAGCGAAGUGCGUGGGAGCGAGAUUACCCCUGAGGAGAGCUCCGCCAAGCCACGAGCGGAGCACAGCACGGGAGGUGCCGCGGAUGCGUUAUAUCAAUACAAUCCCGUAGCCUCUUCAAUCCUUGGCGGCCAUCACAGUGGUUUUAGUGGGUAAGAAUCCCACAUAAUCUGUUGUGUUGUGUGUGUUGUAAUGUGCAGUAGUCAUUAGAAAUAAAAAAAAAACAAAAAGCUAUUUCUUUUUGAGAGAUAUUUAGACAGUUACUUUAUUUUACUAUGUAUUUUUCUUUUGACUAUUUGGAAUGUUUGUGGAUAUAUUUAUUACUUUACCCAAGUUUAACAUAUUUAUUGCACUUUAAAAAAACUAACAUUAUGAAUAAAAGACUACAAAAAUAUUGGUUUUUAACAUUUUAUUUAUAAAAUAUAAUUGAUUAUAUUUUAUUUUAUAAUAUCAACAUUUUAUUUUAAAUUCUGAAUAUAUCACAACAAUAAAAACUCUUAGGAAGAUUAUGAAGCUAUGUAAAAAGUUACAAUAUCAAAAAUACAAAAUACAUUUAACUAUGAUUAGAAAAUAAUAUCAACAAGGCACAUGAAAAGCACCUCAAUUAAUUAUUGCUUUAUAUAUAUAUAUAUUGUCAAUACUCUUUAGAGCUUUUAUAUAUUUCUCUUAAAUAAAUACUAUUAGUCUUAUUUGUCAAUUUUUACUAAUUUAAGUUCAAUGUUGUUUAUUUGAAGCUAGAUCACAUUAUACUGCAAUAGCAAAACAACCUUUGUAAAAUACAAUAUUUCUUGGAUUUACAAUUAGACAAAUAUAUCAUCUAGAUGAAAUAUAAUAUUUUGGUAGCUCUAAUGAUAUCUUAAUCUAGUUAUAGGAAUCUCUGUUAUUUUUAUUCAAUUUAUAAUGUCCAAAAAU